GACAGAGGGUGCAACCGUUGUUCGGAAUUACUGGGCGUAAAGCGCGUGUAGGCGGCUUGGCAAGUCGGGUGUGAAAGCCCCGGGCUCAACCUGGGAAGUGCACUCGAAACUGCUUCGCUGGAGUGCCGGAGAGGGAAGCGGAAUUCUCGGUGUAGAGGUGAAAUUCGUAGAUAUCGAGAGGAACACCGGUGGCGAAGGCGGCUUCCUGGACGGUAACUGACGCUGAGACGCGAAAGCGUGGGGAGCAAACAGG
rnacentral:rRNA from 1 species